CCCUGGCAAAGAAGCCGAUACAGGAUACCCAGCUGACCCCAGGAUGAAGGGAUGCUGGGGCACCCCGGGGACACCUUAUCCCCACGUGCCUGUAGCUUCUAUAAGUGCUGCCUUUGGCUUUUCUUGCAGCCCAUGGAGUCCAAGCAGAGGCUGUUUGCUGGGGUGCUGCUGUAAUGGGGCUGUGAUGGCUCAGAGGUUGAAUAUCAGCCUUUGUGCCCGUGUGGGGUGCUGGGGGGCAGAAGCCAUGUCAGACCCAGAUCUCCACAUUAAGGAUCCAGGCUGCAGUUUGGAGGUGGAAAUCUGUAGCAACUUCAGUGCGGACUAGCACCGCACCCACAGGGAAACCAAGUCACAGAGCAAAAAAAUUUAAAAUGGAUCCCAAAGUCAAGCAGGGAGUCAUGGAAAACACCAAUCUUGGCACCACCAAAGGGAAGGCUGGGGUGGUUCCUGCUGCCGGCACCUCCUCUGCAGGGGUUGGACUCCAAGUGGACAUGCCUGCUCCCCAAAUCAGUGCCGUGCACUCGCUGAGUCUUCUUAUCACACCCCAUGCUGGCGGCCUCACGCUGCAUUAGCAAAUAGCUUGAAAACGAGGGAAGAAAGCCUUCUGCCUUGUCCAACUGCACGAAUCCCCACCAGCAUCUUCCAGGAGGAGAUUUCUCCCCUCCAACCUGACAGUGGCUGUAGUGCCGGGGCCGCCCACCCGUGCCUAAUGCUUCUGCCCACUGGGUCUGUGCUCACUGCCUUCCUUCUUCCUGCCCUAAAUGAGCCUUGUUAUGUGUCCUCUGCUUCUAUUUUUAUUAAAAAUUUAAUGCGUUGCCAAUUUGCCCUCUUGCCAGCAGCGGCUGCAGCAGCAGCAGCCAUAAGUAUCCUCCGGAGAAAUAAAGGGAGGCAGCCUUGAAUAAUCUACGAGCAGCGAUUAUUAUCUGGGUUACAUCCUUUAAAGUAUAUAUAGCUUAAAAGGGAAGGCUUGGUGGAGCUGGGAGGGAGGAAAGAGGUCUCUGCUUGCUGGGAGAAGCUCUGAUUAACACUAGGGAAGUUUUCUUUACGCCCCUUGCUGCUCCAAGCAUGGGAGGAGAGGGGAUGCUCUUAAACCUCCCCAAACUCCAUGUCCUUCUGACAGCAUCCUACAGAAGCUCCUAGUUGAUGGUCAUUGACCAAAACAUUUGUUUUUAACACCAGACGUCAGCCAAAGAGGACUUGGUUGUUAAUCACUGCCUCUGAUCCAUGUUAUUUCUGUGUUUUAGCUGUUUGAUUGAGAAAGAGACGUUGAUGAGAUCUGUGUUCUUGCUAACUUUGAUUUCCGGAAGGAAAUAAGUAUAUGCUUUGUAAUAAUAACAGUUUUAAAGAACAAGCAAGUCUGUCCAAGUUAAUGAAGGCCGUACAAUCAGCCUGCCGGCAUAAAUCAUGUUAUUCUGUAGAAGACGUUGACAAAUGGCAUCCGAAAGUGUAGAAGAGAGGAAAACAAACAACGCAACCCCUUCCCCCAGCUCUUCUGGGAGCAAUGCAAAACUUGGGAGAUGCAUCGAAUUUCCAUCUCGUACCGCACUAACUGUGCUGGGUAAUGGGCCACAAGUCACCACUGACUUCAUGCCAGUAUCAGAGUGAAAGGUGAAAUAUCCAGUUCACUCUGAUAACUCCCCCCAUGACUCGAGGGAGCAGGAAUGCAUAUUUCCGAGGUGCCGCUGCUUUGCCUCGUGGCUGUGACGGGCUCUGGAGAGAGGACAUUUCCCAGGAUCAAUCUACUGCUCGUAGGACUCUGCUCAUCACUUUCAGCUCUUGCGUAGCCCUUUUGUGCAGAUGGGAAUGGCUUUGUGCAAGAGCAACGGCCAAAGAGCAUUGUUGAAGAGUGGCAUGCACCCAAAAAGAAAGGAAACCUGGGCUCACUGCUAGAGCAGACAUGGGAAGAUCAACACUUUGGCAGCAUGAGCACACUGCAGAUCUGGAAACAGCACUAAACCUGUCCCAGCUGCACAUGGGAAAAGGUGAGAACGAUCAGCUGAGUUACAAUCUAUUAUUCAAGAUAACUUGGAAAGCUUUGCAAUUUUCUUUUCAGUGAAUUCGCUUCUGUAUAUAGCACUAGAGUAGUUAAUUUUCUAUGAAAACCCAGAAAGCUGCCUUCAAAAGAUAAUAAAGCUUGAUCAGUUCACCUGGGUUUCCUUUUUAAUUCACUCUGAAAGAAUACAUAACCUCCCUGCCUGUUUGUGAAGACACCUACUCUAUGUGCUUGUAGAACACCGGAUAAUAGACCAAAGAGUUUUAACUUGGUGAUAAAAAUAAUGCAUAGAUAAUGGGAUAAUUAUCAAGCUCCUACUUCACAAAUGCGAACUGGGGUUUUCCCUGCAUGCAGGUUUUCCCUCAUGUACAGCCAGGCCUUUGACCAAGCUGAAACGUAGCAUGAAAAUGGAGCAAAGCAAUUAACGGUCUUUGAUAAUGUUGAGUCUCCAGCUGAACAUCUACCAAGAGCAAGCAGCCAGGAGUGGCCACGUGGCACGGCAAGGCUCUCCUCAGUUGAUGUGACUUUUCUGGGGAGAAGGAAACUGUUUUUUUUCAGCAGGUAGAAACAGUCCAGGUGAGUUCACUGACUUCACCACCGCGCUACGAACAAAUCUCAGCCACCCAGGACA